CUUUCUCUCUGUUUACACGCGUUGCAAAUAUUCAGUUCAAGUGUACGCAGUUGAGGAUCUGCCCAUGAGUGUCCACGCAAUAUUUGCUAGUGGUUACUUUUCAUUGAUUAGAGUUCCUAUUGGUCCAAUACUAGUCCCUGACGAAGGACAAACUUAUUUGAUACAUGUGUAGUGCAAGCUAAUCUGCCUGUGAGUGUUCCUGGUCAGGACUCAGGUGUGAUUAACUACUAGAUUCCCGUGUUGUACUGCUGUUCACGUUUUUUCUCUGUUCCUUCGGUGCAGAAUAGCAUUUUCUGUUCAAAUUCGGUUUCACAUCGAGAAUCGCUGAAACAUUCCAACAUGUACUAGCAGGAUCCCUCUGCUAUAAAUCGUCAAACGCCAUUAUGCUAGUUUUUUUCAUCAUAAAUGGUUGAGCCUAGAUUAUAUUGGUUGCUGAUCCAUGUUAUGCCUGGUCUCUAUGUAUUUAUCAAGACCGGCAAUCCCAGUCUUGGAAAGGAAUACAAAGUUCCGUUAUUAUUUAGCAUAUCAAACUCUGAUCUGUCCAUAAAAUGCAUUAGGAAAUUUCAAACUGAAUGUUUUUUUGUUGCUGAUGCAUUCUAGCUUGGUAAGUAUUAUUUUGCCUGUCCUACGGAUUACUUGUACUGCACUGUGCUAUAAAUCUUGUCAUUAAUAUGCUAAUCUUCCUGAGUUUGUUUAUUUUUGAAUGCUCAUUAGGCGUUUUGUUAUUGUUGUGAAGGUUCGAGACCAUGAUUCACUUUGCCGGACUAAACCCGAUGUUCUACUAUAACGACACCCUCAUCGUUCUACAACCAAGAAUAUGAGUUGCUCGAAUUUCCUUCAUGGGUGCUGCUAUCACCUCAUAAUUUACAGCUCUUUUUUGCUGUUUGGAGAUUUUUGUUGGGGUGAAAGUUUGGAUCCUGUUGGUGAAGGGCUAGAAACUCUGGAAAACAUGGCAUCUGCUGGUUUGAAUGAGGUUGCCUUUUCCUAGUUGUAUGAUGAUAGGAAUCAGGGAAGUCCAAACAUGAAUUUCUGUGAUGGGUUCCUUCCGGCUCGAGGAGGGCUUCAGUACCGCUGACGAGGCGCAGUGCCGCACUCUUUGGGCCCUUCGUCUUCACCCUGGCUUCUUCAUCAGAAACAACCACAAUCAUUUGGACAAGCUCUGGCUUGCCUUUAGCUUCCUUGGGUCACAGGGGUCCGUCCUGACUGCUAUCAUUGCAAAGAAGCAUUGGUGGUGGCAUAGCGGUGCUGUGCUUCCUGGCACACCAUGGUCUGGUCAAAGUCGGUCUGCAGGGUGUUGACAAGAAGGCUGUUGGUCUAGAAGGCUGGCACUGGCUGGUGAGCGUUCCUUCCUAUGUGUUGUAAUUAGCCUAAUAGCCAAUCUGAUUUGUGAUGGGUAUUAAAAUUCUUGAAUGAUGUGUUUGUGAAUCUAGACCAGUCAUGGUGGUACUUGGUUUGGUUCAUUGUUUUUUAUUAUCUUUGUAAUGGCAACAGUAGACUUUUGAGUUA